UUUCAUUUUCUUAAUAUUGCCUUCUUUUUUUUUUUUUAAGAUUUUUAUGUAUUUACUUAACAGAAAGAGAGCCGAGCAUGGGGAUCUGCAGGCAGAGAAGAAGGAGAAGCAGGCUCCCACUGAGCAAAGAGCCUAAUGCAGGGCUCAAUCCCAGGACCCUGGGAUCAUGACCCAAGCUGAAGGCAGAUUCUUAACCAAAGAGAGACACAGCAAGAGAGGGAACACAAGACAGGGAGUGGGAGAGGAAGAAGCAAGCUUUCCACCAAGUAGGGAGCCCAACGCAGGGCCCAAUCCCAGGACCCCAGGAUCAUGACCCAAGCCGAAGGCAGACACCCAAUGACUAAGCCACCCAGGUUAUUUGUGGCUUUGAAUUCACAGGGAUCAAGCCCUGCAUCGAGUCCUGCGUCAGGCUCUCUGCUUGGGUAGAUUCUUUCCAGGAGAAUUUAAUAAUUAAGGGUCAGCUCUGGGCCAGCUGGCAGCCUCUGUGGUCCCUCACAAGGUGGCACAUCCACGGAAGACCGAGUCUAGCUGUCUCCCCUCUUGAUUCAAGUCAUCCAAGGAUCCUUUUCUUGAAAGUCAUGAAACUAACACAACGGACUGUCAGGGUCAGCAACAGCAGGCGCUUGCUCUGUUUUGUUUUAAAAUUUAAAAAGCUUUUCUUAUGCUGGAACAAAUGCGUAUCUGAGGUUGCUAAAAGACUCACUGCCAAGCCAGUUUUGCAUACAGUCUAAACUGGGAAAGGAGCCCUUGUUGGGAUGAUGGCCAAGGAGCUGGUCAGUUGUGGAUGUAGCUUAAAAGGUCAUUGGCUUACUCGCAAGAAUGCUGGCAGCCUCAACAUUUGCUACAAAUUCCUCUCAUUAGUCAAUUGUUUUUUAAUUUCUUUCCCACUGUUAAACCCAAGAAUGUCUUUUGCCUGAGUGUACUAUUCUCAGCUGAUCUCUUUUCCCUGAGAUGUUAGGAAUGAGGCCUUGCAGCAUCCUCUGUGAGUCACAGGUCAGGAGGCAGGAAGUCUUUCAAGUUCUUUGCAUACAGCCUCUAUCCUCCCUGUCUCAGAAGGGCAUUGAUAGCAUUUCUGAGCCUUAGACCCAGAAGUAUCAGAAUUAGAAAGGAUCUCAGAAAGCCUUCUGAGAGAGUUAUGAACCAUGCUGGUUUCCCUGGUACUAAAAGCUUGCUGGGACAUAGAACUUUCAGUGCUGAAACGGGGACUCCUAAGCAAACUGGGAUACGUGGUCACACUACACUGGUUUUUUGUUGUUGUUGUUGGUUUACACUUAACUGUUCUGCAGAGAAGAAACUGCGGCCCAGGAGUCUGACUUGCCCAAGCUAACAGAAUUAGUCAGUGGCAGAUCUCGAAUUAGAAUCCAGAUCCAUGGGUGCUAGAAUCCAGUUCCUUUUCUUUGCUGGUACUUCCUUAUAUUCAGUCACAGGGUGCAUCGCGCACAAUAGGUGCUUAUGUUUUUGUUGUGGUUGUUUUCUGAGUUCAAGGGCAUUGAUUUUUGCAGAUACAGUAAUUCUUAAUUCACUCAAGGUCCCCAUGAAUCAAUUGUGAAACCAGGUCUCUGGUUUCUAGACUCUGAACAGAACAGGGUGAACAAAGGGGAGGAAAGCUCAGUGAGGAAUAGAAGUGCUUGUGCAGGGACGCCUGGGUGGCUCAGUUGGUUGGACGACUGCCUUCGGCUCUGGUCAUGAUCCUGGAGUCCCGGGAUCGAGUCCCACAUCGGACUCCCAGCUCCAUGGGGAGUCUGCUUCUCUCUCUGACCUUCUCCUCAUUCAUGN
ensembl:lincRNA